rnacentral:tRNA from 1 species
GGUUCCAUGGUGUAAUGGUGAGCACUCUGGCCUCUGAAUACAGAGAUCCAAGUUGAAAUCUCAGUGAGACCU